UCAAACGUAAUGAACUGAUGAGUCAUGAAGAAACGGGCUGGAGAAGAAAUCUCGAACUUUUCCUUCAGGCGUAUCCAUGUUCGACAUCAUCGUUUUGUCUAAAUUAGUUCAUCUUUUUCUACAACUGCCUGUUUUAGAAACAAAACUUGAAAGGCAUUGUAAGAUAAAAACUGAAUCAGCUAAAGAAUCCCAUGAAUCGACUGAUGGUUAGUGAUAACCACCGCCCAUGAAGAGCUUUGCAGAGGAUCCAUAAUGGAUUGCCAACUUAAAAAGGAUACGAGGCAUGAUGCAUCGAUUUUAAUUUAUCAGCAUUGUUAGCAUGAAGCACUAAUACUUCAACUACGAUCUUCGAAACUUCGAUGCGACAAAUCGCUUAGAAAAAGUGAUUAAACGAAACGGACGCGACGAAGUAAUCAAGAAAUUCACGAAAUAGUUGAAUGGAAAAAGUUUAAAUAGGUGGAUUCGUUGCUGAAAUAAAUCCUUCUCGGUUUCAUAA